AGAGCCUGCACAUCCCCGAUAAGACGUCUGGGGCCCAGAGCCCGAGCCAGCCUCCCGCAGACCCUGUGGAGACUGUGUGCCAGGAGGCCUAGCUCGGGUCUGCUGUGGGUAUUUCGGGCUAAGUGGGGAUCCCAGCACGGCACACACAAGGAAGGGGCAAUUCCUGCCCAGCCACCGGGGGGGAACGCUGGGCAACUGGCCUACCAUCUGGGACUGUGGCCCCCCUGCCCCCAGCACAGCUGCGGGUCCUCAGUGGGCCCCUUGGACCGAGGAGGCCGUGGAGUUGGUGAGUCUCCUGACUUCCAGACAGGGCUCUGCCCCUCACAGGGGGGUUGCCAGAGGGCCUUGGCUCUUCAGCAAAAACGUAUGGAGCGGCCACACGCUGGGGACGCACUGACAAAUCCUACCAACACCAGCUAGAAGUAAUCUAUGCCCAACACGGAGCUUAAUCAAACUCAGGACCCCGAAUUCAAGAGUUGCAUAUUCCAUGGACUGAGCCAGCCAGGUGCCCCUAUUGAUCACAAUUUUGGUAUUACAAAGGAAGUAAUGAAAUCAGAAAGUUCAGGGUGUGCAACCAGUAACUUCCCACGAGUAGGUGCUUCUUUGGACAAGCACCCUUGUCCACAACGCCUUCCGCUGAGGCCCAGGAGCAGAUCACCCCUGACCUCAUCUGCCACAGUCAUUUCUGGUUUUCUUCAUGUUCUUUAAUGAUGAUGAUGAUCACAAAUGUGGACAUGUGAUGUUGGCGUUUGUUCUCCUUGUGAAAUCUGGAGGUGACUAACUUGGCUUUCUCCUUUUGAUCAUCCAUCCUCACAAGCCUUGAAGAAUUCCCAUAUAGGGCUUUUCCUCGAAACAUUCAUCCCUUAAAUGGCAUUAAAUAUACAAACAAAACUUAAAUAACAUUUAGACAAAGGCUAUAAAUGCUAGUCCAGCAAACAAUCCUACAAAAUCGGAAUUAAGAUGAAAUCUGUUUUUCUGUCUUGUAUUAUUAUUUAAAUUAUUAGAUGCAUUUGUAGACUCAAAAAGGAAAUGGCUUUCCUCCUAAAGUUAUCACGUUAUUACUGCCUCUCAUAAGAUUAUGUUAAUUAUCCACUUUCUCUUUGAACCUCUUCAUUUUUUCUGCAUAUAAAAUUAACAUUGUUCAUAAUCAACAUAAAUUGUUGAAGCAUUUUGCUCUCUCUGUAAUAAAUCCUGUCUGUGUUCACACCUCAA